CACCUAAAACAUAAGGUUUAACUAUAAAAGUACGGCCCCUAAUUAAAUUAAUAAAAAUAUAAAUAUAUUUAAGAUGGGAUAAUCUAUAUUAAUAAAAAUUUAUCUUAAAAUAUAUAUAUUAUUAAUAAUUAUAUUAAUUAAUUAAUAAUAUAUAUAAUUAUAUUAUAUAUUAUAUAUUUUUUAUAUAAUAUAAACUAAUAAAGAUCAGGAAAUAAUUAAUGUAUACCGUAAUGUAGACCGACUCAGGUAUGUAAGUAGAGAAUAUGAAGGUGAAUUAGAUAAUUAAAGGGAAGGAACUCGGCAAAGAUAGCUCAUAAGUUAGUCAAUAAAGAGUAAUAAGAACAAAGUUGUACAACUGUUUACUAAAAACACCGCACUUUGCAGAAACGAUAAGUUUAAGUAUAAGGUGUGAACUCUGCUCCAUGCUUAAUAUAUAAAUAAAAUUAUUUAACGAUAAUUUAAUUAAAUUUAGGUAAAUAGCAGCCUUAUUAUGAGGGUUAUAAUGUAGCGAAAUUCCUUGGCCUAUAAUUGAGGUCCCGCAUGAAUGACGUAAUGAUACAACAACUGUCUCCCCUUUAAGCUAAGUGAAAUUGAAAUCGUAGUGAAGAUGCUAUGUACCUUCAGCAAGACGGAAAGACCCUAUGCAGCUUUACUGUAAUUAGAUAGAUCGAAUUAUUGUUUAUUAUAUUCAGCAUAUUAAGUAAUCCUAUUAUUAGGUAAUCGUUUAGAUAUUAAUGAGAUACUUAUUAUAAUAUAAUGAUAAUUCUAAUCUUAUAAAUAAUUAUUAUUAUUAUUAUUAAUAAUAAUAAUAUGCUUUCAAGCAUAGUGAUAAAACAUAUUUAUAUGAUAAUCACUUUACUUAAUAGAUAUAAUUCUUAAGUAAUAUAUAAUAUAUAUUUUAUAUAUAUUAUAUAUAAUAUAAGAGACAAUCUCUAAUUGGUAGUUUUGAUGGGGCGUCAUUAUCAGCAAAAGUAUCUGAAUAAGUCCAUAAAUAAAUAUAUAAAAUUAUUGAAUAAAAAAAAAAUAAUAUAUAUUAUAUAUAUUAAUUAUAAAUUGAAAUAUGUUUAUAUAAAUUUAUAUUUAUUGAAUAUAUUUUAGUAAUAGAUAAAAAUAUGUACAGUAAAAUUGUAAGGAAAACAAUAAUAACUUUCUCCUCUCUCGGUGGGGGUUCACACCUAUUUUUAAUAGGUGUGAACCCCUCUUCGGGGUUCCGGUUCCCUUUCGGGUCCCGGAACUUAAAUAAAAAUGGAAAGAAUUAAAUUAAUAUAAUGGUAUAACUGUGCGAUAAUUGUAACACAAACGAGUGAAACAAGUACGUAAGUAUGGCAUAAUGAACAAAUAACACUGAUUGUAAAGGUUAUUGAUAACGAAUAAAAGUUACGCUAGGGAUAACAGGGUAAUAUAGCGAAAGAGUAGAUAUUGUAAGCUAUGUUUGCCACCUCGAUGUCGACUCAACAUUUCCUCUUGGUUGUAAAAGCUAAGAAGGGUUUGACUGUUCGUCAAUUAAAAUGUUACGUGAGUUGGGUUAAAUACGAUGUGAAUCAGUAUGGUUCCUAUCUGCUGAAGG
rnacentral:ncRNA from 1 species